AGGAAAAAGUUUAAAACAAAAUCCCCACAGACACAAUAAUGACUUAAAAAGACAAAGCCAACUUAACCAAAAAGUACCACAAGGGAAAUUUGAAAUAAAAGUAAAAGACAAAACCAGAAGUAGAGGCCUUAUCCUACCUUUUGCAUAAUGGUCUAACAAGAAAACGUGGAAGUAAAACCCCAAACCCGAAAGACGACGAGCUAACCUUCUCCCCUUAAAGAGUUGCCUUCCCUACUGUUGCAGUAGUAGGAAGAGAGGGAAGGUUAGAAGUGACAUGCUUAACGCGCCGUCUGAUAUCUGGUUAUCAGGGAAAGAGGUAAAAGCCUCUAGGUCUAACACUCCAACCUCGACGUGCACCGCAAAGAAAGACAAGAGUAAAGAACAUAAAGAGAACAAGAGACAAGUUUUGUUCUCAAGAAGGAAACAACCCAGAGCGUAAAAUAGGCCAAUGAAAUAAAGAACGCCAGACAAAAGUAGGCCUAAAAGCUGCCAACACAAAAGAAAGCGUUAAAGCUUCUCAUAACCAUGUUCAAAAAUGAGUGGAAAAAAUGCCAAUUUUAGCCAAGAGUACCUGAAUCAAAUAAUGUUAGAACAAGUAAACAGACAAUUCCUCCCAUCUAUCGCAAAGAAAAAAAUAACAAACGAGACCAAGAACACCCCAAUAUCAAGAAAUGGGCCUAAAACAUACUUCCAACACAGGAGCGAAGAAAGAAAGGAAAAAAGGUAAGGAAGGAACUCGGCAAACACGAGAAAGGACUGUUUACCAAAAACAUAGCCUCCUGAGACACUAUAGGAGGUCAUGCCUGCCCAGUGGUACAAACUAAACGGCCGCGGUAUCUUGACCGUGCAAAGGUAGCAUAAUCACUUGUCUUUUAAAUGGAGACUCGUAUGAACGGCAAAACCUUUCCCAACUGUCUCCCCUACCUUCCGUAUAAACUCCUAUCUAUGUGAAGAAGCAUAGAGCACAAGGAAAGACGAGAAGACCCUGUCGAGCUUUAGUCUCAACGAGAUAAUAGAAACGCAGGAAAACUACACCCUUCUAAUCCCGAGAAGACUUUGGUUGGGGCAACCAUGGAGAAAAGCAAUCCUCCAGUAAAAGUGAGAAGAGAUAUUACUCCCCACUAACAAAUAAAGAACCAGAAACUGGCAAACAGAAAUAGUUACCGCAGGGAUAACAGCGUUAUCUUCUCUGAGAGUCCUUAUUGACGAGAAGGUUUGCGACCUCGAUGUUGGAUUGGGGAACCCUUAGGGUGCAGAAGCUCUAAAGGGUUGGACUGUUCGUCCAUUAAAGCCCCACAUGAUCUGAGUUCAGACCGACGCAAGUCAGGUCAGCUUCUAUCUUCCAAAAGGCUUUCCUAGUACGAAAGGACCGGAAAACCCCUUUGAAUGAAUUUCUUCAAAAAGGACCAAAACUUUAA
rnacentral:rRNA from 1 species